rnacentral:lncRNA from 1 species
UGGUUAAGAAAAUGCACAGUUGUUGGCAAACAGUCGUGUGGUUCGUGUCAAAAAUAUUUCUCAAGUCUGCGGAGAAGUGAAAGCUGAACAAAAUUAAGCAAAGCAGAAAGAGUGAAUGAAUCAUCAUAGUUCAAGGCCAACACAAAUCUGAAGUCAACAAAGCAUCAUACAAUGUGAAAAUUGAAUACCGAGAGAGUUGACAUGACACCAUUUACUUACGUAGGCAAAGCCAGCGAGUCGUGGUUGGGCGUGCCCGAGUUUGGGAGCCUGGUAAACGAUAUUAAGCACGACUGAUGUGUGGAUGAUCAGCUCGGAUGCUAUUCAAUCGUUCGUUUUUUGGCGAGAAACAAAGAAGUCUGUCAGUCAGUCAGUCAAUCAGCAAUGCUGAUUUAUUUUUAAACCAACAUCAGAGUGAGUGAUCAAAACAAUGAAAAACAUAGAAAUUCUACACAAAUUGCUGUGAUUGGUGCUAAUUUGACGCAAUACGAUAUGUGAGAGUGGCGGAAGCGACGGUAUGAGCUGAAAGGAUGUUACACACGCUGUUCCUCACGUAGUAAAUACACAACACAGAUAUUGACCAAAUGUGGUGGUGAUAAAACUUGAGAGAAAUGGCAGCGAUAUGUGACAGCCGGGGACAUCAACUUAAAGCCAUACUCGUGCGUUAACCAACACAUCAAACGAAAAUAUUCAACUCAUAAAGGGACAAAGAAAGAAACAAACAAACAAACACGCAACCAACAUGGGUUGAUAAUGGUAUUUAACAAAAUUUCCGUAGAACAACUACUUUUUAAUUUUCAGCAAUACGAAACAGUUGAACGUUCCUGUUCGUAUAUAAAAACAACAUAUAAAUGAAAAACUCACGUUAACAGCGAAGGGCAGUAAUUUCCUAAGCCAUCUGUACCAUAUUUCGUUUUUAGCGGUCUAUUUUCUCCACUGUUGUUCUGAGGAAGCUAAUUUCCGAGUCAAAAGGAAACUUCAUUAUCUAUCUUAAUUGGGCAAUCAAAUUUCACUAUGGCGGGCGUGUAAAGAGAUGCCGAAGCACCUGUUUUUUUUUCCUGUUUUGUUCUCUAUUUUUCUCCGCUUUUCUUCCUUUGCUUAUGAUUUUGUUACAGCGAUACGAUGCAGUUGAUCGGUGCCUGUGUGUAUCGAAGGGAAAUUCAUAAACUUGCCUGCAAGUACUCCAAAAUUCAACUUCCUUUAACCUGAGUUGAGGGGGAAACUUUUAACCUGUUAAGCAACAUCUUUACGACUACCCAUGUGUAGAUGAAAUCACAAUAUAACGGAAUGAAUUGAGUAUUCAGAAAAACUAACUCGAAAAAUUGAUUUACUCAUUUAAGGAAAAAUGAGCAAGCCAGACAAUUUUCUUUUCGAUUUGCAGUGAUACCCGCAUAUAUAUGCGCCUGAGAGUAUCCCAGAGAGAUAGUGGGAGUAAGAAAAGCUGUGUAACCGUGUAAAAAAGCAUUACCCUUCAUAACGGCGAUGAAGAAGUGGUGAGGUUAGGUCCAUCUUAUCUUGCACUAAUAUCUACCAUUACAGCAUCAAUAAUGGGAAUCAAAAGUUAUAGGCCUAAAUUACAAAAGAUCGCAGUACCAGCAGGUACAUCAACGGCUUAACGUUUUUCUUUAGUAUUGUUAUUUUUUAUAGCGAUGUAGCACAGUUGAACGUUCCUGUGCACAUCUGUGAGUCAAGCAAGCAUCGGAGGAGCUUUUAUUUUUUAGAAAGCUGGAAAGAUUUGAAAUCAUUGCCCACAUUUCUUCUGUACAAUCGUAAGAUCAAAUGUAUUUUUCUUUAACUAAUGACCAAUUUGUAGGAAACAUUGAAAAGUACUAUCAUAAACUGAAAAAGUUGCGAUUCGUGUGCAAACUGCCAAGAGGGUUCCAAUCUCAACAAUUGAAAACAGCACGUGCCACCACCAAUCUUUAAUUAAUUGUAAGGUUAAUGCAAUAUACCUUUGACUAACGCAUAAUUUGUAGGAAAUGAGAAGAGCAACAUAUGUAACAAAACAACUCUAUACACGUAUACACAUUUCUGAGGAUGAUGUUUAUUUAAAGCCUGUGACCAAGUUCUGCAAAAACUCGAAAAAUAUGUCGCAAUUGAUCAGCGAACGUUAUUGAAGAUGAGGGAACAAAAUAAAAAUGGCAAAAGGGAAUCGUGCCAAAUAAUAGCAGAAAACUCGGAAGAAAUUCUCAUCUAAGGUUAGGUUGAAUUUGAAAUCAUUAGUAAUGUUUUUUGCAGUUAGAGAGAGAGUAUUACCUGAGAAAUAUUGAAAGUAACAACUACCCACCGACGAUUACCAACAAAUAUCAUCGCAUCAUCUGCGAGUUGUGUUAAAUUGGAGUAUCGAAAGUAAAAGUACAUUGCUAUAUAGAUACAUAUAUUUUGCCCUUUGCUUUUCUAUUGUAUUGCUAUAAAACGCGAGAAUCGCGUAAGAGACGAAGACUUAAAUAUUUUUUCAGCGGUACGACACAGUUGAUCAGUGCCUGCGUGUGCCAUUGCCUAAUUCAGUAGAAAGAUUAUCCACAACUCAUCUAACCGAAUGCCCAGUGAACAACAACAGUAAGAAACUGCUUUCUUGCACAAGAAUAAUUAUUUUCUUGUAGAUUUCACAAGUACAUUACUAAUUAGUCCAUGCGAUCAGGAUCUAAAAUAGGAUUGAUUGCGAACGGAAGGAAGUAAUUCAACAAAGUAGAAUGCGAUUAUACAGCUUUAGACCGUAAAAAUACAAAAAAUAACAUGUGAUUUUCAAAUUAGAGAGACACAGUUAUAUUUCCAACCUUAUUUUCAGAAAUUUAUUCGAGUUGGCUUUGGCCUUCGUUUGAAAUGGAAUUUUAAAAAAUAUUAAUUAUGGGAACCAUGCCACCAAUAGCGUCAGUAAAUCAACAAUUUACUUGUAAAUCAACGGCACCAACUUUUUUUUCAACAAGAGGUUAAAUUAUCAACUUCUACAUCUAAAGCACGUCGUUUUCGAUAUUUUUCAGUAUAGCAUAGUUACAAAUCAACGCACAUUUUUUGGGAUUUGAAGGAAAGAUUACGGAAGAACUCGUCGAAUAAUCAAAUUUGAUAUGUUGCGUAUGUUUUCUUGAAAACGUGAAUUUUUUUUAUUAUAAUUUUUUAGCGGUGCGAUGCAGUUGAUCGGUGCCUGCAUGCGCCCAAGCCUAAAGCCUAAUUCAUUAGGAAGUAUUUCGACACGAACUGUAUAUCCUCCGCUUGAAGAGAUUAAUAUCCUGACUUUGACAGAAUGUCGAAUGUAGCUUGCAACAGUAAGAUGCUGUUUUUGCCAUAAAUUAAUUUGUUUAUUGUAGAUUCCAAAGUGGUGGUGAAUAUCUGCCAAUAGUAAACAAUAAUCUCUGGCGCACUCGGCAAAUUGUAGCAGCAGAAAAGAAUAUUCCAACAAUGCACAUUUACGUCUUUGGACCGUAACAAUGCUGAAAAAAAUCUAGUUUGAUUUUUAAUUUUGAGAGACACGGUUAUAUUUCCGAACUUAUUUUCAGAAUUUUAUCCGAGCUGGACUCGGCCUUUGUUUGAAAAGGGAUUUUUAAUUUUUUGGCAAUAAGGGAAUCAUGCCAACAACAUGUCAGCAAAGCAGCUCAUUUCCAUCAAGUGACAACUAUAAACAUUUUCAACGAGAGGUUAGAUAGUCAACUUUGUGCAACUAAAGCAAGUGGUUUUCGGUAUUUUUCCAGUACAACAAAAGCAAACUCCUAUUGGGGCUUCAAUGGAAAAUCUGCAGAGAAGUGAAGCAAAUGCCGAAAUGAUAAAUUCACACUUUUUGUAUAUAUCUUUUUCUCGAAACCGUGCAAUUUUUUUUAUUGUAAUUUGUAGCGAUAUGACACAGUUGAACUGUGCCUGUGCAUAUCUCAUCUGUAUAAUGGCUAUAGGGAAUCGAGCCAUACGACACUCGGGUUUUAACAUUAACGCGAUCAUCGGGUAAUUAUAAACUGCCAAUAGCAACCAAAUAAAGAAGCAUCCAACAUUGAAUUGUGCUCUGGAAGAACGCCUUCUGUUCAUACUUUUCCACUUGCAACUGGUAAAAUUGUAAACCCUCUCCAAUUAACACAACCUGUAACAACCAUACCAUUCCGAUUUUACGAGCGAAUUCUUUUCGCAACAUCGAAAACAACGCAAAUUUUAUUUAUUGCAGCGAUAUGAUACAGUUGAACCGUGCCUGUACAUAUCUACAAAGUUUAUAGCGAUUAUAUCAAACCUUUGUCAACUUUGAGGCCUGUUACAAAAACACCAUAGAUCACCAUAGACAAGAAGUUGGCGAUAGUCCUUCUAAUUUUCUUGAGUGGCAACCCGUCGAAUAGUUGGGGAAAACUGAAGGUUUUUUGCGAAUGAAGCUUUCCACGAUUAACAUUUUACUUACAGUUUGAGGAUACUUGCCUAAGUUGAACUUAUCUGCGAAGGCGACAGUACUGAUCAGUAUUUUGAUGAGAGUGGACGCAUUCACCCACUUGAAAUGCUUGAAGAAGCUGAUCGCAGUGGCUAAAGUCUGCUUCUGAAUAUAUGAGGUCAUUACUUGAAGUAUCCAUUAUAUUUAAAUAGUCUAUUUACAGUAAAAGUACGUAUGUGGUUGAAUGAGUCUGUAAUACUGCUAACUUGGCCUUACUGUGCAACUUGCUGUGCUGGUGGUAUUAUUACACGCAUUUCGGCGAUCGUUAAAGGGAAUCGAACGAUAAAUACAACAAGAAGUGACCACCAUUCAUAUUUUUUUUGAUAUCACUACUGCUAACCAUUGUAGCUGUAAUAAUUUUGUUCGAAUUAUGCAUUUCUCCAAUAGUGCAAGCUAUUAGUCACACACCUACCAACUACCCGUUCAGCACAUAAAUUAAUACAACAACGUUGGUUUUUUAACUUUUUAUUCUGUGCUUUUGGUAAUAGGCGAAUCCGUACGAGUCGCCGCUCAGCCUACCCCCUGGCUGUGAGCAAUCAUAAGGAGCUCUCUGAUGUGUAUGUCCCCAAUAGUGGUGGACGAAGAUAUGUUUCUAAAGGGAAUCGAAGAAACACGCGUAAGACUUGUUACGGUUCGUUCUAUUAGCAUAAACUUGUAUAUUUACAGGUCACAUGUGACUAACACGUCAAAAUAAAUGACUAAAUUCAACCACUAAGCGUGUGGAGUGGUCGGUCGGUCGGUCUACUGAUGAUCGAGAGAUGCCCAAAUUGAACAAAAUGAGCUUGAGCAUGAGCAUGAGCAGUCGUAACGAUAGCAACCACAACGCUAGUUAACAUGUUAGCUUAUGUAACUACACUUACCUAUAUUACAUUUCGAUGUAUGGAAAUUUUAUUUGCCAAAAUUAUGAUGAAAAUAUGUGAUUUUUGUUACGAUUA